rnacentral:rRNA from 1 species
UACGUAGGUGGCGAGCGUUGUCCGGAAUUACUGGGUGUAAAGGGAGCGUAGGCGGGGAUGCAAGUCAGGCGUUAAAUCUAUCGGCUUAACCGGUAGCUGCGCUUGAAACUGUGUCUCUUGAGUGAAGUAGAGGCAGGCGGAAUUCCUAGUGUAGCGGUGAAAUGCGUAGAUAUUAGGAGGAACACCAGUGGCGAAGGCGGCCUGCUGGGCUUUUACUGACGCUGAGGCUCGAAAGUGUGGGUAGCAAACA